rnacentral:lncRNA from 1 species
AUCAUUGAGUAACAGAAACAUAAGACAUAGCCAUAAAAUUUAUCAAAAGGAGAGUAACUUUUACUUUUUACAUUAAUUUCAAAACCAUAUUACUAUAGUCUAGAAAUUUAAAUAAUAUUUCUGAUAAAUUAAGGCAUAUAACAAUAGUCUAUUAGUUUCUAAAUAAAUAGGUUCCAAUAGCCUUAGUAUGAAUGGGUUUUCUAUCAGUGCC